CCCUGAGGUUUUCGUUAAGUCCGUUAACGAGCGCAACCCAUGUCAUUAGUUGUUUUUCUAAUGAGACUGCCUAGGUUAACUAGGAGGAAGGUGGGAUGACGUCAAAUCAGCAUGGCUUUUACGUCUGGGGCUACACACAUGAUACAAUGGUAUGUACAAAGAGUCGCAAUAUCGCAAGAUGGAGCUAAUCUUCAAAGCAUAUCUCAGUCCGGAUUGAGGGCUGCAACUCGCCCUCAUGAAGUUGGAAUUGCUAGUAAUCGUGAAUCAGAUAUGUCACGGUGAAUGUGUUCCUGGGUCUUGUACUCACCGCCCGUCACGGCAUGGGAGGUAGUAAUAUCGGAAGUCCC
rnacentral:rRNA from 1 species